GGAGAGCCUGCGGCGGUGAUUAGGAGAACCCUAGGGGAGUAAGGUUUGGGGGGAGCUUUGGAGGGAGACGGGCUAGGUUGGUUGGUCACGAGGAGGAAACUAGGGCUCACGUCGGUGGAUGGGUUUGAGACUCUUAGGGGUGCUAGGAUGGGCGCGGAGGGGACCUAGGGGAGCAGGUCGGUAGCGGGGCACAGGGUGCGAGUACGAGCAGAAGGUGUGUGACUGCCCUCUCCUCGAGGGCUAGGCACACAGGUUCCGCAGGAGCAGCGGCAACGAGCUCGGAGGAGGCCGUCGGCAGCGACCGCUGGUGGACGUAGCUCGGUGGUUCAGGCGGCGGUUCCAGGACAGCCCUCGCUGUGGCGGGCCUAGGCUGAUAGAGACGUAGCAGGCACGGGGACGGAGUGGUACCUGCGCGGAGGGGUCGAACGGCCUCAGGCUCGCCGGGCGGACGAGGGGACUACGACGGCGACAGUCCGAGACAGCUUCCGCUGUUCGGGGUGGAGUAGACGCGGGUCUAGAGGGCGCUCGACGGGAGUCUUGCCUCAAGGUGACGGUGGAUCGGAGCCUAGGCCGGCCAAGGACAUGCGGGGGCGGCCUCGUUCAGGGUAGUGGCGGCCGUGGUCACGAUGGGACAAAGGGGACGUAGAGGAGGCGAAGUCCAGCUUGUUGUUCCUCGAGCAGGCCAGGUCGGGGCGCGGACUGGCGCGACCGGUCGACGUACCCGGCCGGAGGAGAAGUCGACGCCGGGUCGUGGCGAAGGUCGAUUCGGGUCGGCGCGCGGGGACGGCCGGAGUGGAGAAGGUGGCUGAACCCGAACCGGGUACCACUCCGGGUGACGUCGCGGAGAAAAAAAAGAAAGAAAGAAAAUACGACCGGGUUGUACGAAUCUAAACCGGACAAAUCCAAAAAGGGGUCUAGACACUUUAAAUCAAUAAAAAGGUCCUAGACACCAAAACGUCUUUUUGGGAACAUGUAGUACGUAUAUUAUUGAAAAGUGGGCAAGUAGCCUUGGGUUAUUUGAAAUAUACAUUUUACGAAUCUUAAAACACAUCUAGUUAUUAUACGUUAAAAGUUGGUACAAAUUUUACGAAUUCUACAACAAACAAAUUUGAACGAAUUAAUUGAACGAUUUUACUGAAUAAAGUAUUGAUUUAUUGGCAUUGAGCCUAAAAUUAUUUGAAAUAUACAUUUACCCCACCUUUUUACGGAUCAAAUUGCACCACUGGAAUGAAACGUACAAUUUAUUGAGAUUUUAACACAAAUUCCUUCUAGUCAUGGUUUGGAAUUUUAUACGUAUACCCCUAAAAAGGCCUGAACAACGAACAACAAGGUCGGAGUAAAUUUGAACGGAUCUAUCCAUCAAAACAAAACGAAGUGGGAGUACGGUACAAAUUGUUGUAAAUUAUAACUACCCAUGUAUUUGCUCUAGCUUGAUUUAUUGAACAACACCACAAAGCAGUUAUACGUUGAGCAACGUAUCACUCGAGGUGAAUUAAACAUCUUAACGAACACGUGAAACGGUACGGUACGAAGUAAUUUGGCCUGUACGUAGUAUGAAUCAACACGUAGUACGGUACCAGUACACAACUAACAAAUGAUACAACAAACGAGGAAAGGCCACAACGAAGAAGCCCAACCAAGGCUAAUGCAGCACACACACUCCUAGGCCAGCUGAUUCAGGCAAACAGAAGAAGUACCUGAGCAAGAAGAAGGAACACCCUAGAAUCAAACGUCCACAGCUACAAUGACUCAUCUACUGCGUUGGUUCGAGUUCCUCCUCGAGCUACUUCUAGAACAGGAAACACAACUAGGUAAAGGUCAACUAGUCAUCACCUCGGGUCAACCCCAGCUAGCCCCUAGACACAUCGUAAACCCUAUCAGAAGAAAAUAAAACCAAGGCAUCAGCCUGGAACUAACAUAGACCUACUACAUUACGAAAUAAGUACAUAACACAC
rnacentral:rRNA from 1 species